CAGCAGCCACGGUAAUACGAGGGGGGCAAGCGUUGUUCGGAAUUAUUGGGCGUAAAGGGUGCGUAGGCGGUUUGGCAAGUUUGGUGUGAAACCUUCGGGCUCAACUCGAAGUCUGCAUCGAAAACUGCCGGGCUUGAGUAUGGGAGAGGUGAGUGGAAUUUCCGGUGUAGCGGUGAAAUGCGUAGAUAUCGGAAGGAACACCUGUGGCGAAAGCGGCUCACUGGACCAUAACUGACGCUGAUGCACGAAAGCUAGGGGAGCAAACAGGAUUAGAUACCCCAGUAGUCCCUGUCUCUUAUAA
rnacentral:rRNA from 1 species